GCCUUCAUUUUUUCUCUUCUCGCUCUCACUCUCUCGUUAGCCGUUCCGUUCAGUCAUUGCCUCGACGUUACCUCUCUCUGCGCUGUAGAUUCGCGCUGCCUCAGCCUCAGCCUCAGCUACCAGCGCACCGCCUCAGCCACUACCAAAGGUGGCAGCCUCAGCCCUGUUUCAGACUCCUCCAUUCAGCCGCGGCCGCGCCAGCCUCCGGCCUCCGCUUCUCAACGACCACUCGAGGGGCUGCUCGUUCCUGACGGCCGAUGAAGUCCGAGCUCAAGAUUUGAUUCCACUUCACUCAAGUUUGAUUGAUUGCACGAGACUGUCCAAUACUUGAUUGGAGGUCUGCAGGACAAGGCUGACUAUUUGAUAUGAUAUGAUAUAAUAUAAUUAUCUAGAUAGUGAGUCAGAUUGGAGAGACAUCACCAAAAACUUGUCUUUGAAUUGAUUGAUAUUGGAGAAGGCUAAUGACAUAUCCUGUUUUGGGCUUUAGGGUAUAGGAACAAGAGGAAAUGUGGUAACUGAAAAGAGAGCUAAAUUGCUGCCAUAAUAUGCAGAGAGUCAGUUCAAAGAAGUUAUGUGGUCUAUGCUUGAAUCUUAAUAUCCGCUUAUUUAUCGGCAAGCAAAAUGCUAUUAGAAAAGAAUCUUCAUUUCAUUUGGAAUUUCACAAGUCAUCAAAUCCCCUGCUCUUUUCCACUUAUUCACAUCUGGAUUCUUCAAAGUUUCCAUCAAAACCCAACUUUACUCCUGAAUCAGAUAAUCCUAUUUCUGGAGAUGGAAAUUUUAGAAAGUUGAAUGAACCAAAAAGAGGGCGAGGCUUUAUUUACCUUACAAGCGAAACUGAAUUUUCUCGAGAAAGCCAAAUACCUGAUCACGAUGAGUUCUCUGCUGAUGUUGAGAAGGUAUAUAGAACUCUGAGAAAAUUCCAUUCUAGAGUCCCAAAGUUGGAACUUGCUUUGCAUGAAUCCGGAGUUUCAGUGAGGUCUGGACUGGUAGAAAGAGUGCUUAGCCGCUGUGGUGAUGCUGGGAAUUUAGGAUACAGGUUCUUUGUGUGGGCAUCAAAACAGCCCGGUUACAGGCAUAGUUACGAUGCCUAUAAAUCAAUGAUUAAGAUUUUAAGCAAAAUGAGGCAGUUUGGGGCUGUUUGGGCUCUUAUAGAGGAGAUGAGGAAAGAAAACCCUCACCUUUUAUCACCUGAGGUUUUUGUCGUUCUGAUGAGGAGAUUUGCAUCUGCGAGAAUGGUAAAAAAGGCCAUUGAAGUGUUGGAUGAGAUGCCAAAAUAUGGGUGUGAGCCUGAUGAAUAUGUUUUUGGGUGUCUGUUGGAUGCUUUAUGUAAAAAUGGCAGCGUAAAGGAAGCUGCAUUGUUGUUUGAAGAUAUGAGGAUUCGAUUUACGCCAACAAUAAAACAUUUUACAUCACUAUUAUAUGGUUGGUGUAAAGAAGGAAAGUUGAUGGAGGCAAAAGUGGUGUUGGUAAAAAUGAGGGAAGCAGGUUUUGAGCCUGAUAUUGUUGUUUACAACAAUUUGCUUAAUGGAUAUGCAGUGGCAGGUAAAAUGUUGGAUGCUUUCCAUCUCAUGCAAGAGAUGAGGAGGAAUGGGUGUGAUCCAAAUGCAACUUCAUAUACCAUCAUGAUUCAAGCACUCUGUGCUAGAGAGAAAACGGAAGAGGCUGUGAGAGUAUUUAUAGAUAUGGAGCGCCAUGGUUGUGAGGCUGAUCUUGUUACUUACACUACCUUGAUAAGUGGAUUUUGUAAGUGGGGUAAGCUUGAGAAAGGCUACGAACUUCUAGAUUCUAUGGUGCAGAAAGGGUAUACUCCUAACUCAACAACUUAUUUGUAUUUCAUGUUAGCUCAUGAGAAGAAGGAAGAGUUGGAGGAGUGUCUAGAACUUAUGAAGGAGAUGCGGAAGAUUGGUGUGUUUCCUGACUUAAGCAUAUAUAACACAGCUAUUCGUUUGUCGUGCAAGUUAGGAGAGACUGAAGAUAGCAGGAGAAUGAUGAAUGAGUUAGAAGAAGACGGCAUUAGUCCAGGGGUAGAUACCUUUAUCAUCAUGAUUAAUGGUCUUAUUGAGCAAGGGUGUUUGGUUGAAGCUUGUGAUUAUUUCAGUGAAAUGGUAGGGAGAGGUCUUCUAGCUGCUCCACAGUAUGGUAUACUGAAGGACUUGCUGAAUCCUCUGUUAAGGGCAGAUAAGCUUCAACUGGCUAAAGAUAGCUGGUCUUGUAUAAUAGCUAAGGGCUGCGAGCUUAAUGUGAACGCAUGGACAAUUUGGAUUCAUGCACUCUUUUCAAAUGGGCACGUGAAGGAUGCUUGCUCUUACUGUGUGGAUAUGAUGGAUGCUGGGUUGAUGCCUCAGCCGGAUACCUUUGCUAAGCUCAUGAAAGGUCUAAGGAAGCUCUAUAAUAGACAGAUUGCGGCAGAGAUCACAGAAAAAGUAAGGAAGAUGGCUGCAGAGAGUCAGAUGACUUUCAAGAUGUACAAAAGGCGCGGUGAAAGAGACCUGAAAGAGAAAGCUAAGGCAAAGGAGGAUGGGAGAAAGAGGAGAGCACGGAAGCGUCGUUGGGGAACUAGAAGUAGGAAGGCUGGCGACUUAUGACUUGAGUGCUUAUCGCUGCCCACUGGAUUGAUUUUAACAGCAUGAUGCCUCUUAGACCUAGAAGUUAGCUUAGUUGAGUUCGAUUAUCUCGCAGUCUUUUGUGGCUUUGCUGCUGAUUUAGAAACUCAUUGUUGUAUCUUCAAUUUAAUCGAGGGGGAGGGCGUCCAAUCUUUCACAGUCUACUGACCAGCAUGAAAAGGUAAUGCUCUAAACUUCCCUUCAUGGACAUUGAUCUUUAUCUUUUUUUAUUUCCAUGGCCUUGAUCAUUAAAGAAAUCCAAUGUGAAAUUUAUUUUAAUUGCUCUUUUUGUGCUAGAGUGGAGGCUUCGACACAAUUUUGUAAAGUGCACUGUGGAAUUAGUGAUAAAUGUUAUAGCUUAACAAUUCCAUUCCCUUGUUAACUUCUGGCCUUAGUCAUGCUCAAGUUUUGUGAUGGACCCUACUAUAUUAUAUCGGAAAUGAAGCAUUUAGAAAAGUUUGCUUUUA